AUUGAACGCUGGCGGCAGGCUUAACACAUGCAAGUCGAGCGAGCGGCGGACGGGUGAGUAAUGUCUGGGAAACUGCCUGAUGGAGGGGGAUAACUACUGGAAACGGUAGCUAAUACCGCAUACCAUCAGAUGUGCCCAUAUGGGAUUAGCUAGUAGGUGGGGUAAUGGCUCACCUAGGCGACGAUCCCUAGCUGGUCUGAGAGGAUGACGAGCCACACUGGGACUGAGACACGGACCAGACUCCUACGGGAGGCAGAAGUGGGGAAUAUUGGACAAAGGGCGGAAGCCUGAUGCAGCCAUGCCGCGUGAGUGAAGAAGGCAUUCGGGUUGUAAAGAACGUUCAGCGAGGAGGCGGUACUCGCAGAAGAAGCACCGGCUAACUCCGUGCCAGCAGCCGCGGUAAUAC
rnacentral:rRNA from 1 species